rnacentral:rRNA from 1 species
UACGGAGGGUGCGAGCGUUGUUCGGAAUCACUGGGCGUAAAGGGUGCGUAGGCGGCCGUGCAAGUCUGGCGUGAAAGCCCCGGGCUCAGCCCGGGAAGUGCGCUCGAAACUGCGCGGCUCGAGUGCCGGAGGGGAGAGUGGAAUUCCUGGUGUAGCGGUGAAAUGCGCAGAUAUCAGGAGGAACACCGGUGGCGAAGGCGGAUCUCUGGGCCUUACCUGACGCUGAGGCGCGAAAGCUAGGGGAGCGAACAGG